rnacentral:rRNA from 1 species
UUAAAUUGAAGAGUUUGAUCAUGGCUCAGAUUGAACGCUGGCGGCAGGCCUAACACAUGCAAGUCGAACGGUAACAGGAAACAGCUUGCUGUUUCGCUGACGAGUGGCGGACGGGUGAGUAAUGUCUGGGAAACUGCCUGAUGGAGGGGGAUAACUACUGGAAACGGUAGCUAAUACCGCAUAACGUCGCAAGACCAAAGAGGGGGACCUUCGGGCCUCUUGCCAUCGGAUGUGCCCAGAUGGGAUUAGCUAGUAGGUGGGGUAACGGCUCACCUAGGCGACGAUCCCUAGCUGGUCUGAGAGGAUGACCAGCCACACUGGAACUGAGACACGGUCCAGACUCCUACGGGAGGCAGCAGUGGGGAAUAUUGCACAAUGGGCGCAAGCCUGAUGCAGCCAUGCCGCGUGUAUGAAGAAGGCCUUCGGGUUGUAAAGUACUUUCAGCGGGGAGGAAGGGAGUAAAGUUAAUACCUUUGCUCAUUGACGUUACCCGCAGAAGAAGCACCGGCUAACUCCGUGCCAGCAGCCGCGGUAAUACGGAGGGUGCAAGCGUUAAUCGGAAUUACUGGGCGUAAAGCGCACGCAGGCGGUUUGUUAAGUCAGAUGUGAAAUCCCCGGGCUCAACCUGGGAACUGCAUCUGAUACUGGCAAGCUUGAGUCUCGUAGAGGGGGGUAGAAUUCCAGGUGUAGCGGUGAAAUGCGUAGAGAUCUGGAGGAAUACCGGUGGCGAAGGCGGCCCCCUGGACGAAGACUGACGCUCAGGUGCGAAAGCGUGGGGAGCAAACAGGAUUAGAUACCCUGGUAGUCCACGCCGUAAACGAUGUCGACUUGGAGGUUGUGCCCUUGAGGCGUGGCUUCCGGAGCUAACGCGUUAAGUCGACCGCCUGGGGAGUACGGCCGCAAGGUUAAAACUCAAAUGAAUUGACGGGGGCCCGCACAAGCGGUGGAGCAUGUGGUUUAAUUCGAUGCAACGCGAAGAACCUUACCUGGUCUUGACAUCCACAGAACUUUCCAGAGAUGGAUUGGUGCCUUCGGGAACUGUGAGACAGGUGCUGCAUGGCUGUCGUCAGCUCGUGUUGUGAAAUGUUGGGUUAAGUCCCGCAACGAGCGCAACCCUUAUCCUUUGUUGCCAGCGGUCCGGCCGGGAACUCAAAGGAGACUGCCAGUGAUAAACUGGAGGAAGGUGGGGAUGACGUCAAGUCAUCAUGGCCCUUACGGCCAGGGCUACACACGUGCUACAAUGGCGCAUACAAAGAGAAGCGACCUCGCGAGAGUAAGCGGACCUCAUAAAGUGCGUCGUAGUCCGGAUUGGAGUCUGCAACUCGACUCCAUGAAGUCGGAAUCGCUAGUAAUCGUGGAUCAGAAUGCCACGGUGAAUACGUUCCCGGGCCUUGUACACACCGCCCGUCACACCAUGGGAGUGGGUUGCAAAAGAAGUAGGUAGCUUAACCUUCGGGAGGGCGCUUACCACUUUGUGAUUCAUGACUGGGGUGAAGUCGUAACAAGGUAACCGUAGGGGAACCUGCGGUUGGAUCACCUCCUUACCUUAAAGAAGC